rnacentral:rRNA from 1 species
ACUUUGAUGGUCGGUUACGAUAAGUAAUCUUGUACUGUUAGAGUAAACCUUUCCUACUGGUUACUCGACUCUGUUCUUUAUUGGAUGGAGUAGUGUCGCAAGGCAUCAUUUAAUAUUAUAUUGCUUUUUAAUGUAGUAAUUGGGUUAAACUGGUUAUGAAGUUAAAAGGAGAACAGUAUGGUAUUAAAUGGGGUUCCAGUUCAUUUACUUUGAGUAAAUUAGAGUGUUCAAAGCAGCCUUUUGGGGCAUUGAAUAGAUUAGCAUGGGAUAAUAGAAUAGGAUUUUUGUCUAUUUAUUUGGUUUUUAGAUUUAAAAUAAUGGUUAAUAGGGAUAGUUGGGGGCACUUGUAUUCAAUAGUCAGAGGUGAAAUUCUAGGAUUUAUUGAAGACAAACUUCAGCGAAAGCAUUUGCCAAGCAUGUUUUCAUUAAUCAAGAACGAAAGUUAGGGGAUCGAAGACGAUUAGACACCGUCGUAGUCUUAACUAUAAACUAUGCCGACCAGGGAUAUGAGGGAUUUUUUAAUUUAUGCUAUUAUCAAAUAGCAUAAUCUCUUGUGAACCUUGUGAGAAAUCAUAAGUUUUUGGGUUCUGGGGGGAGUAUGGUCGCAAGGCUGAAACUUAAAGGAAUUGACGGAGGGGCACCACCAGGAGUGGAGCCUGCGGCUUAAUUUGACGCAACACGGGAAAACUUACCAGGUCCAGACAUUUGAAGGAUUGACAGGUUGAUAGCCCUUUCUUGAUUAAAUGGGUGGUGGUACAUGGCCGUUCUUAGUUGGUGGAGUGAUUUGUCUGGUUAAUUCCGAUAACGAACGAGACCUCUGCCAUUAAAUAGGGAUAAUUAUGUGAAAACAUAGUUAGUUAUAAAUAUUUACCCUUCUUAAUGGGACUUUUGGUUUUUAAUCCAAAGGAAGUUAGAGGCAAUAACAGGUCUGUGAUGCCCUUAGAUGUUCUGGGCCGCACGCGCGCUACACUGAUAGCAUCAAAAAGUAUAUUUAUUUAAUCCUUCCCUGGAAAGGGUGGGUAAUCUUUUUUAAAUGCUAUCGUGAUGGGGAUAGAUGAUUGCAAUUAUUCAUCUUGAACGAGGAAUUCCUAGUAAGCAUAAGUCAUCAGCUUAUGUUGAUUACGUCCCUGCCCCUUGUACACACCGCCCGUCGCUGCUACCGAUUGGAUGAUCCGGUGAAAUCUUUGGAUUCCGAUAAAAUACUUGGAGUAAUAUUCAAGUUUUAUUGGGAGAAGUUGAUUAAACCUUAUCAUCUAGAGGAAGCAAAAGUCGUAACAAGGUUUCCGUAGGUGAACCUGCGGAAGG